rnacentral:rRNA from 1 species
UACGUAGGUGGCAAGCGUUGUUCGGAAUUACUGGGCGUAAAGGGCUCGUAGGCGGCCAACUAAGUCGGACGUGAAAUCCCCAGGCUCAACCUGGGAACUGCGUCUGAUACUGGAUGGCUUGAAUCCGGGAGAGGGAUGCAGAAUUCCAGGUGUAGCGGUGAAAUGCGUAGAUAUCUGGAGGAAUACCGGUGGCGAAGGCGGCAUCCUGGACCGGCAUUGACGCUGAGGAGCGAAAGCCAGGGGAGCAAACGGG